rnacentral:rRNA from 1 species
UGGCGUCGAAGCAGUGUAUGUCAGACUUCCAAGAAAAGCUCGCAAUGUCAUAAAUAAAGAAUGCCUGUACCAUAACCGACACAGGUGGGUAGGUAGAGUAUACUAAGGGGCGCGAGAUAACUCUCUCUAAGGAACUCGGCAAAAUAACUCCGUAACUUCGGGAGAAGGAGUGCCUUCUUUAAGAAGGUUGCAAUGACAAGAUCCAAGCAACUGUUUAUCAAAAACACAGGUCUCCGCUAAGUCGUAAGACGAUGUAUGGGGGCUGACGCCUGCCCAGUGCCAGAAGGUUAAAGAAGUUGGUUAGCUUUUGCGAAGCUGAUGACUGAAGCCCUGGUGAACGGCGGCCGUAACUAUAACGGUCCUAAGGUAGCGAAAUUCCUUGUCGGGUAAGUUCCGACCCGCACGAAAGGCGUAAUGAUUUGGAUACUGUCUCAGAGAGGGACUCGGUGAAAUAGACUUGUCUGUGAAGAUGCGGACUACCUGCACCAGGACAGAAAGACCCUAUGAAGCUUUACUGUAACUUGAAAUUGAAAUUGGACUUUAUUUGCGCAGUAUAGGUGGAAGGCGUUGAAAGUAAUCUUGCGGGAUUAGUGGAGCCAUCAGUGAGAUACCACUCCUAUAAUGUUAGAUUUCUAACUUUGGAUCAUGAUCUGGUCAAAGAACAGUUUCAGGCGGGCAGUUUGACUGGGGCGGUCGCCUCCCAAAUGGUAACGGAGGCGUACAAAGGUUUCCUCUGAACGGGUAGAAAUCGUAUCUAGAGUGUAAAGGCAUAAGGAAGCUUGACUGUGAGACCUACAAGUCGAGCAGGGACGAAAGUCGGUCUUAGUGAUCUGACGGUGCUGAGUGGAAAGGCCGUCACUCAACGGAUAAAAGUUACUCUAAGGAUAACAGGCUGAUCUCCCCCAAGAGUUCACAUCGACGGGGAGGUUUGGCACCUCGAUGUCGGCUCAUCGCAUCCUGGGGCGGUAGUACGUCCCAAGGGUUGGGCUGUUCGCCCAUGAAAGCGGUACGCGAGCUGGGUUCAGAACGUCGUGAGACAGUUCGGUCCAUAUCCGGUGUAGGCGUUAGAAUAUUGAGAGGAGCCUUCUUUAGCACGAGAGGACCGAGAAGGACAUACCUCUGGUGUACCAGUUAUCGUGCCAACGGUAAACGCUGGGUAGCUAUGUAUGGAGAGGAUAACCGCUGAAAGCAUCUAAGUGGGAAGCCCACCUCAAGAUGAGUA